rnacentral:SRP_RNA from 1 species
GCCAGGUGUGGUGGCGCUUGCCUGUAGUCCCAGCUACUUGGGAGGCUGAGACAGAAGAAUCGCUUGAACCCAGGAGGCAGAGGUUGCAGUGAGCUGAGGUCGUGCCACUGCACUCCAGCCUGGGCGACAAAGCGAGACUCUGUCUCAA